AUACAGAGGGUGCGAGCGUUAAUCGGAAUUACUGGGCGUAAAGCGCGCGUAGGCGGCUUAUUAAGUCAGAUGUGAAAUCCCCGGGCUCAACCUGGGAACUGCAUCUGAUACUGGUAAGCUAGAGUUUUGGAGAGGGAAGUAGAAUUUCGGGUGUAGCGGUGAAAUGCAUAGAGAUCUGAAGGAAUACCAAUGGCGAAGGCGACUUCCUGGCCAAAAACUGACGCUGAGGUGCGAAAGCGUGGGUAGCAAACGGGAUUAGAAACCCCAGUAGUCC
rnacentral:rRNA from 1 species